rnacentral:other from 1 species
UUGGCCCUGCCCGGUACGCGGACAUGCAAAUUCUCUGACCCUUUAGCCACUGAAAGGGAGCUCGGAGUCCGGCAGUGGCCGUAUACCCCUGAAGGGGAAACGAUAAACCGCCGGCAGAGCACCCACCUUGUUACCGUGGUCCAGAGAUGAGCAUAACAGUCGGCCGGGCGGGGCCUUU